UCAUCUUCGGGGGUAGAGCACUGUUUCGGCUAGGGGGUCAUCCCGACUUACCAACCCGAUGCAAACUACGAAUACCGAAGAAUGUUAUCACGGGAGACACACGGCGGGUGCUAACGUCCGUCGUGAAGAGGGAAACAACCCAGACCGCCAGCUAAGGUCCCAAAGUCAUGGUUAAGUGGGAAACGAUGUGGGAAGGCCCAGACAGCCAGGAUGUUGGCUUAGAAGCAGCCAUCAUUUAAAGAAAGCGUAAUAGCUCACUGGUCGAGUCGGCCUGCGCGGAAGAUGUAACGGGGCUAAACCAUGCACCGAAGCUGCGGCAGCGACGCUUAUGCGUUGUUGGGUAGGGGAGCGUUCUGUAAGCCGUUGAAGGUGGCCUGUGAGGGUUGCUGGAGGUAUCAGAAGUGCGAAUGCUGACAUAAGUAACGAUAAUGCGGGUGAAAAACCCGCACGCCGGAAGACCAAGGGUUCCUGUCCAACGUUAAUCGGGGCAGGGUGAGUCGACCCCUAAGGCGAGGCCGAAAGGCGUAGUCGAUGGGAAACAGGUUAAUAUUCCUGUACUCGGUGUUACUGCGAAGGGGGGACGGAGAAGGCUAUGUUGGCCGGGCGACGGUUGUCCCGGUUUAAGCAUGUAGGCGGAUGUUCCAGGUAAAUCCGGAACGUUA
rnacentral:rRNA from 1 species